UACGUAGGGGGGCAAGCGUUGUCCGGAAUCAUUGGGCGUAAAGCGCGUGUAGGCGGUCCGGUAAGCCCCGCUGUGAAAGUCGGGGGGCUCAACCCUCGGAUGCCGGUGGAUACUGUCGGGCUUGAGUACGGAAGAGGCGAGUGGAAUUCCUGGUGUAGCGGUGAAAUGCGCAGAUAUCAAGGAAGAACACCAAUGGCGAAGGCAGCUCUCUGGGACGGUACUGACGCUGAGACGCGAAAGCGUGGGGAGCGAACAGG
rnacentral:rRNA from 1 species